GAUGAACGCUGGCGGCGUGCCUAAUACAUGCAAGUCGAGCGAACAGAUGAGGAGCUUGCUCCUCUGACGUUUGCGGCGGACGGGUGAGUAACACGUGGAUAACCUACCUAUAAGACUGGGAUAACUUCGGGAAACCGGAGCUAAUACCGGAUAAUAUAUUGAACCGCAUGGUUCAAUAGUGAAAGACGGUUUUGCUGUCACUUAUAGAUGGAUCCGCGCCGCAUUAGCUAGUUGGUAAGGUAACGGCUUACCAAGGCAACGAUGCGUAGCCGACCUGAGAGGGUGAUCGGCCACACUGGAACUGAGACACGGUCCAGACUCCUACGGGAGGCAGCAGUAGGGAAUCUUCCGCAAUGGGCGAAAGCCUGACGGAGCAACGCCGCGUGAGUGAUGAAGGUCUUCGGAUCGUAAAACUCUGCUAUUAGGGAAGAACAAAUGUGUAAGUAACUAUGCACGUCUUGACGGUACCUAAUCAGAAAGCCACGGCUAACUACGUG
rnacentral:rRNA from 1 species